UUGAAUUUCAUUUUUCUAGUUCUGGCUGGCUCCCCCACCUUCGCGGCAAUUUCCUCUUCUUUUCUCCAAUUCACAAAUAAACUAAAUAAAAACAAAAAAAAAAAUUUUAAAAUACCAAAUCUUUAUAUUAAAAAAUUUCUUUUUUGUUUUGAAUUUUUCUUCUUGUUGUCUCUAUUAGUAGUGUUAUUUUUUCUUUUCCAUUUUUUUUACCAGAAACCAAAGAGAAAAAAAAAAAAAAACACAAAACAGAGCAAAAGAGAGCGAAAUGAAAUGAUUGAGAAGAGAUCCAAUAAUAAUAUAAAGAAACCAUUUCGAAACGCAUCGUUUCGCAUCGGAAUCUCAUCAGCCUCAUCUACCCGGACGAUUCUCCGGUCACCGUCGCCGACUCUUCUCCGGUCGGCUUAA